UACGGGGGGGGGCAAGCGUUGUUCGGAAUUACUGGGCGUAAAGGGCCAGUAGGCGGCCAACUAAGUCCGACGUGAAAUCCCUCGGCUUAACCGGGGAACUGCGUCUGAUACUGGAUGGCUUGAGUUUGGGAGAGGGAUGCGGAAUUCCUGGUGUAGCGGUGAAAGUGCGCAGAUAUCAGGAGGAACACCAGUGGCGAAGGCGCCACUCUGGGCCGUAACUGACGCUGAGGAGCGAAAGCGUGGGUAGCAAACAGG
rnacentral:rRNA from 1 species